AUUGAACGCUGGCGGCAGGCCUAACACAUGCAAGUCGAACGAGUGGCGGACGGGUGAGUAAUGUCUGGGAAACUGCCUGAUGGAGGGGGAUAACUACUGGAAACGGUAGCUAAUACCGCAUACCAUCGGAUGUUCCCAGAUGGGAUUAGCUAGUCGGUGGGGGAAAGGCUCAACUGGGAGACGAUCCCUAGCUGGUCUGAGAGGAUGAACAGCCACACUGGAACUGAGACACUGUCCAGACUCCUACGGGAGGCAGGAGUGGGGAAUAUUGCACAAUGUGCGCAAGCGUGAUGCAGCCAUGCCGCGUGUAUGAAGAAGGCCUUCGGGUUGUAAAGUACUUUCAGCGGGGAGGCGUUACCCGCAGAAGAAGCACCGGCUAACUCCGUGCCAGCAGCCGCGGUAAUAC
rnacentral:rRNA from 1 species